GUGGGGAAUCUUGCGCAAUGGGCGAAAGCCUGACGCAGCCAUGCCGCGUGAAUGAUGAAGGUCUUAGGAUUGUAAAAUUCUUUCACCGGGGACGAUAAUGACGGUACCCGGAGAAGAAGCUCCGGCUAACUUCGUGCCAGCAGCCGCGGUAAUACGAAGGGGGCUAGCGUUGCUCGGAAUUACUGGGCGUAAAGGGCGCGUAGGCGGACAGCUUAGUCAGAGGUGAAAGCCCAGGGCUCAACCUUGGAAUUGCCUUUGAUACUGGCUGUCUUGAGUACGGGAGAGGUGAGUGGAACUCCGAGUGUAGAGGUGAAAUUCGUAGAUAUUCGGAAGAACACCAGUGGCGAAGGCGACUCACUGGCCCGUUACUGACGCUGAGGCGCGAAAGCGUGGGGAGCAAACAGGAUUAGAAACCCCUGUAGUCC
rnacentral:rRNA from 1 species